rnacentral:rRNA from 1 species
AGCGAACGCUGGCGGCAGGCUUAACACAUGCAAGUCGAACGGGCGUAGCAAUACGUCAGUGGCAGACGGGUGAGUAACGCGUGGGAACGUACCUUUUGGUUCGGAACAACCCAGGGAAACUUGGGCUAAUACCGGAUAAGCCCUUACGGGGAAAGAUUUAUCGCCGAAAGAUCGGCUCGCGUCUGACUAGCUAGUUGGUGUGGUAACGGCGCACCAAGGCGACGAUCAGUAGCUGGUCUGAGAGGAUGAUCAGCCACAUUGGGACUGAGACACGGCCCAAACUCCUACGGGAGGCAGCAGUGGGGAAUAUUGGACAAUGGGCGCAAGCCUGAUCCAGCCAUGCCGCGUGAGUGAUGAAGGCCCUAGGGUUGUAAAGCUCUUUUAUGCGGGAAGAUAAUGACGGUACCGCAAGAAUAAGCCCCGCUAACUUCGUGCCAGCAGCCGCCGCAAU